CUUGUCUAUAUGCCAGCUUCCUUAUUUUCAUGCACUACAGGCAACUGAACACAAGGAAAAAAUCAUUAAAGCAUAUUCUCACACACAAAAGCACAACUAUUAUUUAGACAAAGAGAAAACAAAAAUAAUUUCCAGGACCUUCAAAUCACACAACUUGCAGGUUUAAUCUUUUUUUUUUAUUAGCAUUUGUCUUUCUCCAACGUCAUAUAUGGUAAACCCUCGAGUCCUUGCAAAGUUUAGUUCCCAGAAAUGUACAGCUUUAAUUUCUUCAGCAAAAACCUGCCUUUUUUCUGCACAAUCCACUCAUCACAGGUCAGAACACAGAGCUCUCUAUCCCAGUCACGUCUGGAGGCUUUAAAAGCACUUAGUGUGACCGACCAAGCUCUCGGAGGCGAGGUUUGCGCCGUUCUUAUGUAUUAUAAAAAAGGGGGACAGUGUGAAUACAUCAGGCCUCGGAUGAAUACAGGCGCUUGGCAAUGUUAUAUACAAACAGGAAGUGGGAGUGCAGAGAGAGGGGGGUGGAAGGAAGAGGGGGAUUAUGGGAGACCCCGGUGUGGUGGUGAACGUCCCCCCCUCUCCUUGUGGAAUGGUCCCGAGUGGACAGAAUUCCCUGUAUGGUCCACGAAUCCCACAAUGCAUUGUGAGUGAGCGAGUGAGAGCGCUCAGGGUGAGACGGGUCGGGAGGGCGGAGGUCAUGGAGGGGAUGUGAGGAGAGAAGAGAGGGGGGUCGUUAUGACACCCUGCACUUUCAAAAAUCACUCCUCGGGUGGAUUUUUUUGUUUUUUCACAACCGCAGAAAAUAUUUAAACAUUCAGUUUUAGGGCCAGUUGGCAAAUGGAACAGAACAGGUAGAAUCCGGUGAGGGGCAGACCGAGCUACCCGCCUUUACCCCCAGGUUACACUCUGAAAACAGACCCAACAUGUUGGUUUGGGGGUUUUUUGUAUAAUACAUGUAUGUAUAAGUACUGUAUAUGUAUUCUUUAUUGUUAUUUUACAAGAUUCCCUGAUGGCCAGCGCAGAGAGAAACAGGAGAAAAGAAAAAGGGAGGAGGAAGGGAGGCUUGUCCAAUUUUACAUACUGUAGAAACCAGUGGUGGAACAGGAGAGGAGGGACGCAGUGCCUGGAUUUGUCCACAGGGAGGAGCACUUUGUGUCUGAUCAACCCCAAUCAGAUUGGAAGGUAGAGACAGUGGCGGGAGGGAGGGAGGGAGGGAGAGCAGAGGGGCUGAGGGAGGGAGUCCACCCUGUCAGCUUGUUGUUCUGUUGGGUUGUCUUCAAUUGGUCAGCUGGUUUGUUUGCUUGCUUGCUGGGUUGUUAAGUGUUUGUAAUCUCCUCAUCCUCCUCCCCUCAUCCCUCCCGGCUUGAAGUGAGCGAUCGACGGAGGUCUGACUGGCCCACGUCACCGAUGGUUUCACUC
ensembl:lncRNA